CUGGGCUUGACAUGUAAUGAUCAACAUGUGAAAGCAUGCGACUCUUCGGAGGCGUUACACAGGUGCUGCAUGGCCGUCGUCAGCUCGUGUCGUGAGAUGUUUGGUUAAGUCCAGCAACGAGCGCAACCCCUGUUGCCAGUUACCAGCACGUGAAGGUGGGGACUCUGGCGAGACUGCCCAGAUCAACUGGGAGGAAGGUGGGGACGACGUCAGGUCAGUAUGGCCCUUAUGCCCAGGGCUGCACACGUACUACAAUGCCCAGUACAGAGGGGGCCGAAGCCGCGAGGCGGAGGAAAUCCUAAAAACUGGGCCCAGUUCGGACUGUAGGCUGCAACCCGCCUACACGAAGCCGGAAUCGCUAGUAAUGGCGCAUCAGCUACGGCGCCGUGAAUACGUUCCC
rnacentral:rRNA from 1 species